rnacentral:rRNA from 1 species
CCUACGGGCGGCAGCAGUGGGGGAUAUUGCACAAUGGGGGAAACCCUGAUGCAGCGACGCCGCGUGGGUGAAGAAGCGCCUCGGCGCGUAAAGCCCUGUCAGCAGGGAAGAAACUGACGGUACCUGAAGAAGAAGCCCCGGCUAACUACGAGCCAGCAGCCGCGGUAAUACGGAGGGGGCAAGCGUUAUCCGGAUUUAAUGGGUGUAAAGGGGGCGCAGACGGCGAGGCAAGCCUGGAGUGAAAGCCCGGGGCCCAACCCCGGGACUGCUCUUGGAACUGCGUGGCUAGAGUGCAGGAGGGGCAGGCGGAAUUCCUGGUGUAGCGGUGAAAUGCGUAGAUAUCAGGAGGAACACCGGUGGCGAAGGCGGCCUGCUGGACUGCAACUGACGUUGAGGCCCGAAAGCGUGGGGAGCAAACAGGAUUAGAUACCCCUGUAGUC